CGAGCGGACAGAAGGGAGCUUGCUCCCGGAUGUUAGCGGCGGACGGGUGAGUAACACGUGGGUAACCUGCCUGUAAGACUGGGAUAACUCCGGGAAACCGGAGCUAAUACCGGAUAGUUCCUUGAACCGCAUGGUUCAAGGAUGAAAGACGGUUUCGGCUGUCACUUACAGAUGGACCCGCGGCGCAUUAGCUAGUUGGUGAGGUAACGGCUCACCAAGGCGACGAUGCGUAGCCGACCUGAGAGGGUGAUCGGCCACACUGGGACUGAGACACGGCCCAGACUCCUACGGGAGGCAGCAGUAGGGAAUCUUCCGCAAUGGACGAAAGUCUGACGGAGCAACGCCGCGUGAGUGAUGAAGGUUUUCGGAUCGUAAAGCUCUGUUGUUAGGGAAGAACAAGUGCAAGAGUAACUGCUUGCACCUUGACGGUACCUAACCAGAAAGCCACGGCUAACUACGUGCCAGCAGCCGCGGUAAUACGUAGGUGGCAAGCGUUGUCCGGAAUUAUUGGGCGUAAAGGGCUCGCAGGCGGUUUCUUAAGUCUGAUGUGAAAGCCCCCGGCUCAACCGGGGAGGGUCAUUGGAAACUGGGAAACUUGAGUGCAGAAGAGGAGAGUGGAAUUCCACGUGUAGCGGUGAAAUGCGUAGAGAUGUGGAGGAACACCAGUGGCGAAGGCGACUCUCUGGUCUGUAACUGACGCUGAGGAGCGAAAGCGUGGGGAGCGAACAGGAUUAGAUACCCUGGUAGUCCACGCCGUAAACGAUGAGUGCUAAGUGUUAGGGGGGUUUCCGCCCCUUAGUGCUGCAGCUAACGCAUUAAGCACUCCGCCUGGGGAGUACGGUCGCAAGACUGAAACUCAAAGGAAUUGACGGGG
rnacentral:rRNA from 1 species